UCAAACAUUACACAUGAUAAAAUUUUACAUCAUUGUUACUUAUGCAUGUACAAAAUAUCAAACCAAAACUAAGAAUCUUCUCAAAUAAUCAGAACUUUUGGGUAUUACCAAAUGCAAUCACCAAAGCAAUUGAUUUUACAAUCUACAUCCCAAAGAAAUAACAAACACCUAUUCAAUAAUGUUACAAUAACUAGUGGAUAUCAAGAAUACUCAGCAUUAACAUGUCUCAUGGGUAAACAAAUGACAAUGCAGUACUGCUUGCUAUUUCCAUUUCUUUCAAGUGUCCGGGAGGCUACAACAGAAGAAAAAGGAAACCUAAUUAAGCCUGUGCUGACAACUCAGUCGCCAAACUAGUACUCAAUCCCCACUUGACAUUGGAUUGGCCAGUAACAGGCUUAAAUGGGAUCAGUAACUCGCCAAACCUAAUUGGCCAGUAACCCCAGCUUGACAUUGAAUUGACAUUUAUCAAUGGGAUCCCGAAUGAUUUCCACACAUAGCAUGCCAUGAUGUGAGAUACUACAUCUGUAAAUGGAAAAUAACAAAAUUUGUAAACUGUAAUGUAAAGAAUAGACAGGAAGGUGGACAACUGUAGUUAUGUCAUAAAUCUGGAACAAGCAGCUCAUUACAAAUAACUUGGGCAGAUUGAUAAUAACAGAAAAACUAAAGAAAACAGACAGCACAAAUUCACAAUAUUAGUAGCUUAACCUUACCAAUAAGUACCUAGUCAGGCUGCAAACCAUAGAAUGGGUUCAGCCCACAUUAUCUAUUUUCAAAAUCUUAAAAGGUUUAUAUACAAAUGCAUCAAGCAAAUUUACCUAGUUCCAAAAAAGACAUGGAAAUUCCAUUCGUUUUUGUUCUUUUCCAUAUUAGUGAAUUGGCAUUGUCACUUAGGUGGCUCAACUUGUAAUAUAACUUAGGAGCAAGAUGCAAUCAUCACACAAAAUAAGUCAAUGAUUAAUAACACCUACAGAAGUACAGAAGCCCAGAUAACAUUAAUUAACAAGCUCCUGAACGCAAAAUAAAACUUCUAAAGACUAUAACUAAAUAAAUUCCAAAUUGCAGGCCCUUACCAAUCCCUUACAAUACGAACAUUAUUAUUAAAAAGGAGGGACACUUGUUGCAUAAUAUGUCCUGCUAUUUUAUUGUAGAAGAUAGAGGACAAUAGGAAUGUACAUCUAAGAUAAGGUUUUUAAAAGCCAAGGGGCCUUGGUCCAUG
rnacentral:lncRNA from 1 species